AUUUUCCCGCACGUUGAUCAUGGAGUGGAGAUCCUUGCCUCAAUACCAAUAAGAAGGAAGUAAAGUGCAGAUCUGAGACACCAUGGCCUCCGGUGUUUUUUGUAAGUUUUGUGGUUAUAUUUGCUGGUGUGGUUGUGUUUGGUCACCAAGAAAGUGUGGGAAAGUUGAAAAAAAAAAUAAAGUUUUCGUUUUUUUUUUACAAUGAAACCGAGUAGACUAAAAAUUAUGGAGAAAGUUUUCAUUUUUUUUUUUUUUUUUUUUUUUUGUGGUUCGGCUUGUUGUGAUUCUAUUUGGCUACCAAGAAAGUGUGGGAAAGUUGAAAAAAAAUAAAUUUUUUGUUUUUUUUUUACAAUGAAACUAAGUAGACUAAAAAUUAUGGAGAGUUUUUUUUUUUUUUUUUUUUUUUUUGUGGUUCGGCUUGUUGUGAUUCUGUUUGGUUGGCAAGAAAGUGUGGGAAAGUUGAAAAAAAAUAAGGGCUUGUUAGGAUUAUCCCUGUUAGGAUCCGAGAUAACACAUCAACUCCUCAUUUCUUUUUCCACACAACCAUUAACAAAAACCUCAAAAUUCUCCCUCCCUCAAUUUUUUCAACAACCAAACAAGACCAUACCUAAAAAAAUAUUGAAGAAAAAAACAGUUGGAACAAAAAAAAAGGAAAAAAAAAACAGAGUAAAUCAAACAACCAAUUUUUUUUGUGUGACAAUUUGUAAUUCUGGAAAUUUCACCCGUUGAUUCCAUUUAUUUUUGUGUUAUUCUCUUUGGAGUUUAAUUUCUUUAGAUUUUAAAGAUAAAGAGGUUGUAGUUGUGGGACUAUGGGAGUACGUGGAGUGUUGGAAGAGAAAGUAGAGCGAGAAGUAUUCUCUUUUCAUACAAUUUUUAUUUUUUUAUUUAUUAAAAAAACGAUUUUCAAUUAAAAGUUUUUUAUUUUAUUUAUUCUAAAAAAUUAUUUUUUAUAAAGUGUGAAUGUAAAAAUUAUUUAUAUAUUUACAAUAUCAAUUAGUUAAAGAAAAUACUCAAUUUUAAAAAACAAAACCAAUUAUUAUUAUCUUUUGUUGAAUUUUUUAUUUAUAUCUUUUUUUUUUAUUAAUCUAGAGGAGUUACAAAAAAACAUUCAAUUAAAAAAAAAACCAACUUUCAAACAUGUUUUUUGUUUUACUUAUUCUAAAAAACUUUUUUAUUAACAUAACCAAACAUUUUUUUUUUAGAACAAAAACUGUUUUCCAAAAUUCAGUUCCCAAACACAAUUUGUUUUUUUGAAAACACAAAAAAUUGUUCUAAAAAACCGUUAUCAUCCAUUACUUGAUCAGGAGGUGUACAGACUAGAGGGACAGAGGCUCAUACGAGGAGUAGUCCACCACCUCAUGAGCAGUCGAUAUCAUCCAUUACUCGAUCAGGAGGUGUAUGGACUAGAGGGCGAGGGGCUCAUACGAGAGGGACUAGGCAUACAUGUGUUCUUAGAGAUGCACCAUCGACUGACAUUAGCCUGCCA
rnacentral:lncRNA from 1 species